UCUAUAUAUAUAUAUAUAUAUAAAAUGGUUUACUGUAUUUAUUUUGAAUUACAUAUACAGUAUAUCAGGGGACCAUGAUCUUUUCAGUGCAUAGGACCUCUAAAGGCCUUAAUCUGGCCUUCAGUUGAGACAUAUAUUUGCUUUGCUUCUGGGUCCAAAUCAGAGUGCUGGUUAUUACCUGUGAAAGUUAUUUCCUGCCCAGGUAUACCCCACGUGUCUACAUCCACACGUAACCUGUUUGUAAGGCAACAGCGAAAUCACGUAUAGUGGGUUCAGUCCUCUGAAAGGGCCUACCAGAGAGGGCACCUUCAGCUGCUAUAUUUAGAAAAGCUGUGUCCGAUAAUUGGUUCCAGAGUGCUUUUCAUGUGAGGGUACAUUGUUUCAGCUUUGGCUCUAUUGGUAAUGCUAUUCAUUUUCAGUCCUGUUACUUGGAUUGAUUUGUGCUUGUAACUCUGGCCCUUUCUACACGUUGGCAGAAAUGGCUCUCCACCAGCAUUCAUUAUGCCAGUGGAGGCUCGGGGACCACUCGCAUGAUAUUGUGCAAGUGACCCCACAGAGGCAGCUCCACACAGAGCCACCUCAGGACUUCCGGGGGUCGGAGGGCAGCGUGGGCAUGUCCCUCCAGCCGUCCAGAGCUGCACAGGGAAGAGUGAGUAAAUGUGACACACGGAAGGGCCAAAAGCGGCGCCCUCACUCUGGUGCAGUUUGCACCACACCGGCAGGAAGAUGCCGCUUUUGAAAAACCUUGCUCCCGGAGGUUCAAAAGCAGUGUCUUUGCGCCGCUUGGGGGUGCGACCACACUUGGGUGGUGCGAGCUGAGUGAACAGUGUCCUAGGGCACUGUUAUCGGGCUGUGCAGAAACAGCCAAAAUUACAUUAUUAGGAUAACUUGAUUCUGUGAAGAUAAGUGGGAUAUAAAUGUUUUAAAUUAAUUAUUUAAAAUAUUUAUACCCAACACCAUUGAAUCAUUAGUAUCUUGCAAUCCUAAACAGAUUUAUGUGUGAGGAAAUCCCACUGAACUCAGAGAGGCUUACUUCUGUAUCAAGUUUAGAAACUGGAUACAAAUCUUCCUGUCAUGCUUUCGUUUUACAGUACAUUACAAAUUAAUAUGUAAUGUACUUAUUGUCUGCACUGCUGAAAUACUUCCAGUAUUUUUAUGCUCUUGUCCAUAACCUGAUCAAUAUAUAAUUUCCGGAUAGGUUCGGAUGAAAUAUUACAGGUUGGAAAAAAUAACAUCUCUAGCUGCGGGUAGGGACAGUUUUUGUGAGCAACAGUAACAGGUAGUAGAUUUGAAGACAAAGAAAUAGAAGUGAAAGUUUUUACCUGGAUUUAGUUGAGACUGAAGUGGGUCUGGAGUUCUGCCUUGUAGAAGUGUCUCUGCCUCUAACAAAUGUCCCAACACUGCAGGACUAUUACAAGGAAUUGAGAAGCAUGCACACAAAUAUUUAUGACUAGCAGUAAAGCUUGUUGUACAAGCAAAAAAAAAAGGGAGUGCAUGAUGGAUGGGAGUUUCUUAAAAGUGAGAUUUUGAAGGCAAAUUUUCAAACAGUUCCAAUGAGGAAAAAAAAUGGGAGGUGUCUAAGGAAAUCAGGAUGGAUGUCUAAAGAACUUCCAAUGGAGCUAAGGUUUAAAAGGGGCAUGUACAAGAAAUUGAAAAAGGGGGAAACCACCAAAGAGGAAUUCAAACAAAUAGCCAGGAUGUGUAGGAAGAAAGUCAGAAAAGCUAAAGUGCAGACAGAGCUCAGAAAUGCCAGAGAGGUUAAAAAUAAAAAAGGCUUUUUUUGUUAUGGCUGCAACAAAAGGAAGAAAAAGGAUAUGAUAGGGUCACUGCGUGAAAAUGGUGAAAUACUAACAAAGGACAGAGAAAAGGCAGAACUGCUCAACACUUUCUUUGCCUCGGUCGUCUCUCAAAAGGAAAAUGGCUCAACUGAGCCUUUCUAGGGAACAGAAUAUGCUGGGCAUCUAGCAAACAGUGAUGUAAUUUGGGGAGAUAGUCAGAAGAGGUGGUGUUUUGAAGCUAAUUUUUUCAAAGAAUUUAAUAGCUUGAUCACAUUAACACAUAUUCCCAAACGGACAGUCAUUGGUAAAUCUACUGAUCAGAACAUUCAACAUGUUGGUCAAAAGCCUUUCUAGGGAAUUCUAUUUACAUUUGGGAAGGGGGGAUUUGCUCUGAUUGGUUUUGGUUGGUAGUGACUCUUUGCCACCACGUCUAGCCUUUUAAUAACAGAAUAUGCUGAUGACAGAUUUGAACCACCUUCAUUACACCUUCCAUCUUUUUUGGGGGGAAAAAUUAACUGAGCAGCGCAAUUGACUUCUAUGGGAUUUGACUGGAGUAAAUCUGUUCUGGAUUGCAAUGUAAGAUUGUUAAUACAGCAAGCAAUCCAGAGCUGGUCAACUCAGAAUUUUACUUAAGUCUAUUCAGUGGGGCCUAAGCUCAGGAAAGAUCCUUAGAAUUGCAGUGAAAAUCCUCUACUGUAUCAUAUUCUCAAAUAUCUAUCCACUUGUUACAACUUUCCCACUGGAUUCUGGACAACUGGAAAUAGAGUACUAUUUUUGUCCUGGCUUGAACAAAGACUUAGGAAUCCUCACUUAUAGCUGUAAACAAUCUUUAGCAAGAUUUACAGUUUCUCACCCAUUGCAGAUGUUAGCCUAACUAUUUAGCCUAACUAUAAGUCAUAUUUUCUUGAUUAUAUUUGAAUUUUACCCCUGACCUGGCUUUUGUUUUCAUUCUCCCUACAUAAAUUGACUGCAUAGUAAGGUUCUGCUCAUUGCAUCUGAAGAAACUGGCAGUGUUCAAAUGUUUGUGCUGAAAUAAAAUCAUGUAAAUUAAUCUAUUCAUAUAUUAAACCUAUGUCAUUUCCCCAGUUAUAAUCUUGAACUAUAAAGCUUCGUGAUCAUCUGCAAUGUAAACUUGGAAAAAAGCAUGCAAGUGAAUAUAUAAGGAAUAUGGAACUGAGUUUAGAACAUUGUAAGAUGAACGUCCUCAUUUUAAAAAGUGAAGUUACAAAGUUUUCCAUGGAAAGCAUCUAUGAGCAUAGGGUGCAGAGUCAACUCUGUAAACUGGAACAUUUUUAACAUGACCCUAAAGCUGGUUGUGGAAAGGAGAACAGGUUUAUAUUAGAACAAUUGCUUCAAAUUUGAUGUGCAGUAUAAGGGCUACAUAUUUUCAAGUAUGACAAAGCUUUAUACCUUUGAAUAAACCUGAAAAUUUAUUUACAUACUUAGAAACACAGAAAUUCAACAUAUGAAAUGUGGAUACAUCCCUUGGUUUCGUGAGUACUAAAUAACCUUUAUAUGCAUUCUGCAAACAAAUUUCAGUUUGAAAUUUUUAUAAAAUACAUUUUAUGCUAUAUUUACAUACAUGUUUAAGAACAGGAACUGAAUAUAAUGCUAUAAACAAGCUACUGCUAAUAUUUAAUAACUGUAGACAUAUCAUUUUCUUUGCAUAGGAUAGGCAGAGAAGUGGAAUCGUCCGAAACAUUGAGCUUCUGUUCAUAUGAGUUCUGUUCAUAUGAGAAGACCUGUCACACUCAAUGCAAAUGUACACUAAUCCAAACAGUAUUCUGGAGAGAAGGCUUCAGAGGACGACUGCUUUAAAGGAGCCAGAUAACUGUACCAAAUGUAUUUAAUUCUUAAAUUGGUUUGAUAAGCCAAAUAAAUACAUCUCUUCAUCACCA